CCCUUAGAGUUUGAUCCUGGCUCAGGACGAACGCUGGCGGCGUGCCUAAAACAUGCAAGUCGAACGGUGGUAGCAAUACCACAGUGGCGAACGGCGGAGUAAUACGUGAACAACGUGCCCUAAAGACUGGGAUAGUCACUGGAAACGGUGGGUAAUACCGGAUGUGGCGAUUCAGACACAUGUAUGGAUCGUUAAAUGGUUUUUCGCUUUAGGAGCGGUUCACGGCCUAUCAGGUAGUUGGUGGGGUAAUGGCCUACCAAGCCGACGACGGGUAGCGGGUCUGAGAGGAUGGUCCGCUCGAGUGGGACUGAGACACGGCCCACACACCUACGGGUGGCAGCAGUUGGGAAUCUUGCACAAUGGGGGAAACCCUGAUGCAGCGACGCCGCGUGGAGGAUGAAGGGUCUAGGCCUGUAAACUCCUUUUCUCGGGAAAGACUUAGGACGGUACCCGAGGAAUAAGCCCCGGCUAACUACGUGCCAGCAGCCGCGGUAAGACGUAGGGGGCGAGCGUUGUCCGGAUUUACUGGGCGUAAAGCGCGCGUAGGCGGUCUGUUAAGUGUAGAGUGAAAGCUCCGGGCUCAACUCGGAAACUGCUCUGCAUACUGGCAGGCUGGAGGGACGCAGAGGUCUGUGGAAUUCCUGGUGUAACGGUGAAAUGUGUUGAUAUCACGAGGAACACCCAUGGCGAAAGCAGCAGACUGGGCGUUUCCUGACGCUGAGCGCGAAAGCGUGGGUAGCAAACAGAUUAGAUACCCUGGUAGUCCACGCCCUAACGAUGAUA
rnacentral:rRNA from 1 species